rnacentral:rRNA from 1 species
GAUGAACGCUAGCGGNAGGCCUAAUACAUGCAAGUCGGACGGGAUUGGAGAGCUUGCUUUCCAUGAGAGUGGCGCACGGGUGCGUAACACGUAUGNAACCUACCUUUAUCAGGGGGAUAGCCUCUCGAAAGAGAGAUUAAGCCCGCAUAACAUCACGAUAUAGCAUUAUAAUGUGAUCAAAUAUUUAUAGGAUAAAGAUGGGCAUGCGGAACAUUAGCUAGUUGGUAAGGUAAUGGCUUACCAAGGCUACGAUGUUUAGGGGAUCUGAGAGGAUGACCCCCCACACUGGUACUGAGACACGGACCAGACUCCUACGGGAGGCAGCAGUAAGGAAUAUUGGUCAAUGGGCGGAAGCCUGAACCAGCCAUGCCGCGUGCAGGAAGACGGCCCUACGGGUUGUAAACUGCUUUUGCAGGGGAAUAAACCUCAUUACGUGUAAUGAGUUGAAUGUACUCUGAGAAUAAGGAUCGGCUAACUCCGUGCCAGCAGCCGCGGUAAUACGGAGGAUCCAAGCGUUAUCCGGAUUUAUUGGGUUUAAAGGGUGCGUAGGCGGCCUAUUAAGUCAGGGGUGAAAGACGGUAGCUUAACUAUCGCAGUGCCUUUGAUACUGAUGGGCUUGAAUGUACUUGAGGUAGGCGGAAUGUGACAAGUAGCGGUGAAAUGCAUAGAUAUGUCACAGAACACCAAUUGCGAAGGCAGCUUACUAAAGUAUGAUUGACGCUGAGGCACGAAAGCGUGGGGAUCAAACAGGAUUAGAUACCCUGGUAGUCCACGCCCUAAACGAUGAAUACUCGAUGUUGGCGAUAUACAGUCAGCGUCAAAGCGAAAGCGUUAAGUAUUCCACCUGGGGAGUACGCCCGCAAGGGUG